GAUGAAGAACGUAGCGAAAUGCGAUAAGUAAUGUGAAUUGCAGAAUUCAGUGAAUCAUUGAAUCUUUGAACGCAUCUUGCGCUCCUUGGUAUUCUGAGGAGCAUGCCUGUUUGAGUGUCAUUAAAUUCUCAACUACACUGACUUUGAAUUGGUGUGGCUUGGAUUUGGGGGGAAAAUUGUUGUGGGCUUUUUGUAUAGUCUGCUCCCCUGAAAUUGAUUAGCGGUACCUUUGUGGAACUGUCUACAGGUGUGAUAAUUAUCUACAUCUUAGACAUCUGCUGGAAUGCUGCUCUCUAAACCUUACUUGUAUUGACAAUCUUGACCUCAAAUCAGGUAGGACUACCCGCUGAACUUAAGCAUAUCAAUAAGCGGAGGA
rnacentral:misc_RNA from 1 species